rnacentral:rRNA from 1 species
AAAAAGAACCUGAAACCGUGUACGUACAAGCAGUGGGAGCACCUUCGGGUGUGACUGCGUACCUUUUGUAUAAUGGGUCAGCGACUUAUAUUCUGUAGCAAGGUUAACCGUAUAGGGGAGCCGCAGGGAAACCGAGUCUUAACUGGGCGUUAAGUUGCAGGGUAUAGACCCGAAACCCGGUGAUCUAGCCAUGGGCAGGUUGAAGGUUGGGUAACACUAACUGGAGGACCGAACCGACUAAUGUUGAAAAAUUAGCGGAUGACUUGUGGCUGGGGGUGAAAGGCCAAUCAAACCGGGAGAUAGCUGGUUCUCCCCGAAAGCUAUUUAGGUAGCGCCUCGUGAACUCAUCUUCGGGGGUAGAGCACUGUUUCGGCUAGGGGGUCAUCCCGACUUACCAACCCGAUGCAAACUACGAAUACCGAAGAAUGUUAUCACGGGAGACACACGGCGGGUGCUAACGUCCGUCGUGAAGAGGGAAACAACCCAGACCGCCAGCUAAGGUCCCAAAGUCAUGGUUAAGUGGGAAACGAUGUGGGAAGGCACAGACAGCCAGGAUGUUGGCUUAGAAGCAGCCAUCAUUUAAAGAAAGCGUAAUAGCUCACUGGUCGAGUCGGCCUGCGCGGAAGAUGUAACGGGGCUAAACCAUGCACCGAAGCUGCGGCAGCGACACUAUGUGUUGUUGGGUAGGGGAGCGUUCUGUAAGCCUGCGAAGGUGUGCUGUGAGGCAUGCUGGAGGUAUCAGAAGUGCGAAUGCUGACAUAAGUAACGAUAAAGCGGGUGAAAAGCCCGCUCGCCGGAAGACCAAGGGUUCCUGUCCAACGUUAAUCGGGGCAGGGUGAGUCGACCCCUAAGGCGAGGCCGAAAGGCGUAGUCGAUGGGAAACAGGUUAAUAUUCCUGUACUUGGUGUUACUGCGAAGGGGGGACGGAGAAGGCUAUGUUAGGCCGGGCGACGGUUGUCCCGGUUUAAGCAUGUAGGCUGGUUAUCCAGGCAAAUCCGGAUAAUCAAGGCUGAGGUGUGAUGACGAGGCACUACGGUGCUGAAGUAACAAAUGCCCUGCUUCCAGGAAAAGCCUCUAAGCAUCAGGUAACAUCAAAUCGUACCCCAAACCGACACAGGUGGUCAGGUAGAGAAUACCAAGCGCUUGAGAGAACUCGGGUGAAGGAACUAGGCAAAAUGGUGCCGUAACUUCGGGAGAAGGCACGCUGGUGUGUAGGUGAAGUCCCUGCGGAUGGAGCU